CUUAAAACGGUAAAGCCGCGAAUGGCUCGGUAUAACAGCUACGGUUUAUUAGAUGUUUGUUAUCUACUUGGAUAACUGUGGUAAUUCUAGAGCUAAUACAUGCAAGAAAGCUCGGACCUUCGGGAAAGAGCGCAUUUAUUAGAUCAAAACCAAUCGGGCUUUUGCUCGUGUUUUGGUGACUCUGAAUAACUCAGUUGAUCGCACAGUCUCGCACUGGCGACGUAUCUUUCAAAUGUCUGCCUUAUCAACUUUCGAUGGUAGGUUAUAUGCCUACCAUGGUUAUAACGGGUAACGGAGAAUAAGGGUUCGACUCCGGAGAGGGAGCCUGAGAAACGGCUACCACAUCCAAGGAAGGCAGCAGGCGCGCAAAUUACCCAAUCCCAGUACGGGGAGGUAGUGACGAAAAAUAACGAGAUAGUCCACUUUGUGGCCUGUCAUCGGAAUGGGUACAAUUUAAAUCCUUUAACGAGGAUCUAUUAGAGGGCAAGUCUGGUGCCAGCAGCCGCGGUAAUUCCAGCUCUAAUAGCGUAUAUUAAAGUUGUUGUGGUUAAAACGCCCGUAGUUGAUUUUUCGACUGUGAAGGUCAGUAGCCUGUAUGGGUUUCACUGUCCCUUCGAGUCUGAAUUUGAGUUUUCUGUUGAUGCUCUUUACCGGGUGUCAUCAGUGACUUGAACGUUUACUUUGAAAAAAUUAGAGUGCUUAAAGCAAGCUAUAUGCUUGAAUAAAGUGCAUGGGAUAAUGGAAUAGGACUUUGGUCUUAUUUUGUUGGUUUUUGAGAUUGAAGUAAUGAUUAAGAGGAACAGACGGGGGCAUUCGUAUUGUUGCGUUAGAGGUGAAAUUCUUGGAUCGCAGCAAGACGAACAACUGCGAAAGCAUUUGCCAAGAAUGUUUUCAUUAAUCAAGGACGAAAGUUAG
rnacentral:rRNA from 1 species